CAUUUAUAUACAAAGUUGUCUCAAUGUAUGGGCUCUCAGUUUUUCAAACCCAGACCACAAAUGAAGAACAAAUCCCCAAAAGGAUUCUCCUUGAAUAUUACCCUUACCACUGCCAGACACCAACAUUCAUUGGCAACUGAUGAUCUUGGAAGAACAUCCUCAAUAUGGAAAUGUCGAAGUAUAGAUAAGGCCAAACGAAUAGGGACUUCAGGAUUUUGUGACCCUCUAUGAUGCUCACAAUGAUGCAUAUUAUGACAAAAACAUGCCAAGUGAAAUAAUCUGGUAAAAGCACAUGGAAUGCAAAAUGUGGAGAAAGUAUUCCUGUAAAUAUGAAUACAGCUUUGAAGAAGAUGAAUUUCAGGAUUUUACGACCUUCCAGGUGUCGUAAAUCACUUGUUUGAGAAAACAACCAUAGCGCUGCAACAAAAUUUAUUACCAAUGUUGCUAAGCAAAGUCCCAUGUGUGUCUUGUUUUGUUGAGUAUGUUCGGUGGUCAUCUGGACAACGGUUCCCACUAGCAUCGCCUCAAUCGCUAUAAAAAUAGCAUACAUUGCCAUGUUGAAUGACCUGGAACAACUAUUCUAGUUAAUUCAUGACAUACAUAUAGAAAAAAAAAACAGAAGAUUCUAUGAAAAGUAAAACAAAAG